rnacentral:snRNA from 1 species
AUACUUACCUGGCAGGGGAGACACCAUGAUCAAGAAGGCGGUUCACCCAGGGCGAGGCUUGUCCAUUGCACUCCGGCCAUGCUGACCCUGCGAAUUCCCCAAAUGCGGGAAUCUCGACUGCAUAAUUUAUGGUAGUGGGGGACUGCGUUCGCGCUCUCCCCUG